GAUGUAAGUAUGUGUAAAUCUACUUAGAUAACUUCCUAUGUAUAAUAAUAAGCAGAGGUUUCACUUUUUUGGAAUUUUGCCUGUGCUAUUUUUAGAAUCACAACAACAUAGCCACUGAUGUCUUGUUCAUUUGUGUCUUGGCAGGACUACAUCUUAAUAGAAUACUUUGAUAUCAAAACAGAGAUCUUUCCUAUGAAAUUCAUUACCAAUACGCAUAGCUCUCCACCUAAUAUUGUAACUAGUAGUGCAAUUAAUGGAAAAAAAGUUGAACGUUUGUGAGGCUGUAUCCGCUAUUGAUAUAGUCCAACAGUGACAGAAAUCCGUACAUACAUCUAACGAUGUGAUAAAAGCUCCAAUGAUGAAAUCUAUUAAUUACUGUGUGAUUGACAGAAAGAAAUAUACAAGGAAGAGAUCAGUUUCGUUUUUCAAAUAAGAUGGUUUUCCAUUGCAAAGAACGAGAGAAUCAGACCGAAAUGAUCAGUCAAAGAAACCUUUUAAGCUGUGAACAGAUGUAGAUCAGUUACAAAGAUGUGUUUCCACAGGACAUUUCCUUUUAUAACCAGGAUGAGUAAUCAGAGUUUGGAUCAGUCAGAACAGAAGAUUUUGAUAAGUAACAUGAGACUCUUUAAAUAGAGAUUAGAGGCAUUUUGUCAAUUAUGGUGAAAAUAAUGAUACUGAAAUUCUAACAAAAUGCUUUAAAGUUGCAAUGAGGCAUGAGAUUUAAACAACAGUAAACA